rnacentral:lncRNA from 10 species
GUGGGAGUUGACAGCGGCCAGGUGCGGUGGCUCAAUUUCCUGACCUGCUCCAUGGAAGGUGACCUAAUGGUGGUGACUGCGGGAGGAGCAGCAGCAAUAGCAGGAGUGGUACUCAAGUUCUGGAUGGCUAUCAUAAUGGAAAUAAAUCUUAGUCCACACACUCUUCAUUAACCUGUAAAAGCCGUGGGCUCAGCCGGAGCAGAGCAGAGCUGAGGACACAGGGAUGACUGGACUACCAGCUGGAGAGAGGAGCUACCCUCUCUGCUAGGGGCCGAACACUCCUCCGGACACCCUGGCUACAGUGCAGGACAAGAACUUAGGACUGCAGGACAAGAACUCGAGACCCACACAAUGGCCUAUAGUGUAUGUGCUGUUAUUGUUCAUUCAUACUUUGAUAAUGAACAAACUGCGACUCAGAGAAGUAGAGUAACUUGCCCAAAGUCAACAGCUGGUAAGCGGAGCUGGGACUACCACCAGGCUCGACCCAGCACAGCUCAUCCACCCACCCCAAUGACAGAA